rnacentral:lncRNA from 1 species
CCAGGUCUACUGUUGGCUCAGGACAGGACAAGGGGAUCCUUUGAUUGUCUUCUCUCACUGGCCGGAGGCUGCUAAAGUUAACUGAGAGAAGAGAAGUCCUAAGCUUGUGGAGAAGACCAGAAACAGACUUCUGAGGCUGCCUUCAAAGCCGCAUCUUGCCCACCCCACCUACUUCCACAUAUGAGCCCCCUCUAGAAGCAUCUACCUUCUAUCAUGCCUGGAAGACAUUUAACCAUCUGUUGCCAUUUGGUGUUCUGGGGCUUUUCACUUGGUACAACUUUGGUGUCUCUAACUAGACAGUGGGUUCUUCCCAGUCCUGUCCUUUCUCUGCUGCUUCCAGGGGGAGACUGGAAGCAUUCCGUGAGUGCAAGAAUGACCGUGUGGUGAUGUCUCCAAGCCAAGCCCUGCAGCCCAGGGAGGCUAAACUGCUGUGUGGAUUCUAGAUGGAUUGUUCUCAUCCCUGGCUUUGAACUUCUUCUGGAAGAGAGUCUGCCUAGGCCCCCUGCAGCUCCCCAUCCUUAGGACCUAGACGAAUGAAUACAGCAUCACCCCCUCCUCCAAGUCAGAUUAGCCAUAGGUAUCUAGAAAUUCCAUUCUGAGCACCUACUGUGUGCUCAUGCCUGUCAAGAGAGGUUGCAGAGGGUGAAGAGGGGCCAGAUUACUGGGCUCCUGCCUUCCACCAGUUCCCAAUCUAGAUGGAGAGAGAAGACUCAUAGGCAGGAGAGCCAAAGCAGGUCUCAGGGCGUGUGGCCACGGCCAGGGCUGCAGAAUGUGGUUCAGUGGGUGCCAGAGAGAGGAGAGUGAUGGUGGCUCCACUGAAGGGAAGCUGAACACAAAGAAGGUUUCCUCCUCCCUUGAGGGGGAGGAGCAAAGG